CUCAUUUUGUGAAUAGCUGGAAAAGCUCCAGGAUUCUAAUAAAACAUAUAUGCAGUAUUCUUUUUUUAGGACCACAACCUUGAACUCAAACUUUCAUUUUGAUCUCCACUACACAACUGUCAAGUUUUUGAUCCAGCAUCAAACCGAACACAGGACCAUAUUUUGCUAUGAGACACAUUCACUUGUCUCACUGAUGCUCAUAACAGGUUAAAUCCUUCAGAUAAAAUACAAGAACCUGCACAUGGCCACACUUAAGUGUCGUUUAAAGUGGAGGGACAAGCAGGAUGUGGAUCAUCCCCGGCUGGGAAUGGAUGAGUCACUA